rnacentral:rRNA from 1 species
GGGCCCGCACAAGCGGUGGAGCAUGUGGUUUAAUUCGAUGCAACGCGAAGAACCUUACCUACUCUUGACAUCCACGGAACUUAGCAGAGAUGCUUUGGUGCCUUCGGGAACCGUGAGACAGGUGCUGCAUGGCUGUCGUCAGCUCGUGUUGUGAAAUGUUGGGUUAAGUCCCGCAACGAGCGCAACCCUUAUCCUUUGUUGCCAGCGGUCCGGCCGGGAACUCAAAGGAGACUGCCAGUGAUAAACUGGAGGAAGGUGGGG